AACGAACGCUGGCGGCAUGCCUAACACAUGCAAGUCGAACGAUACCUUCGGGUCUAGUGGCGCACGUGUGCUUACCGCGUGGUAACCUGCCCUUAGGUUCGGAAUACCUCCCCGAGAGGGGUUCUAAUACCGGAUAAUGUCUUCGGACCAAAGAUUUCUCGCCUUUGGAUGGGCCCGCGUUGGAUUCGCUAGUUGGUAGUGUAAAAGCCUACCAAGGAGACGAUCCAUAGCUGGUCGGAGAAGAGGAUCAACCACACUGGGACUGAGACACGGCCCAGAAUGGUACGGAAGGGAGCAGUGGGGAAUAGUGGACAAGGGGGGAAAGACUGAUAAAGCAAUGCCGCGUGAGUGAGGAAGGCCGUAGGGUUGUAAAGCUGUUUUAGACGGGAUGAUAAUGACAGUACCGGGAGAAUAAGCACCGGCUAACUCCGUG
rnacentral:rRNA from 1 species